UACGUAGGUGGCGAGCGUUGUCCGGAAUUACUGGGUGUAAAGCGCGUGUAGGCGGGAGGCCAAGUCUGUGGUGAAAUCGCUCGGCUUAACUGGGCGGGGUCCAUGGAAACUGGUCACCUGGAGGUCGGUAGAGGCAAGUGGAAUUCCCGGUGUAGCGGUGAAAUGCGUAGAUAUCUGGAGGAACACCGGUGGCGAAGGCGGCAUCCUGGACCGACACUGACGCUGAGGAGCGAAAGCCAGGGGAGCAAACGGG
rnacentral:rRNA from 1 species